GUUUCCGUAGGUGAACCUGCGGAAGGACCAUUAUUGAGCUAUAUAAUUAUCUUUCUCAUAAUUAAUUUUUUAAUUAUGAUAGACUUAAACGAUUGUCUGACAUCAAAUGUCAGCCAUUUCUAUGCAACGUUUUUGUCAAACAACGGCUUUUAUUGGUUUUUAUAGGUGCCUGGAGCAGUUGUAUGAUCGUGACUGUAAAUGAUGGGUGCUCUUUUGCUUUUACAGCAAAAAAUUAAAGAGGCUGGACUGUGGCCCGCCAUUAUUAAAUACAACUAUUCAUUUAACAUUUUGAAUGUUUGAAUAUUAUUACACUAUGUGUAUGUAUUAUUGAUUAAAUUUAUCAAGUCUUGUCGGUGGAUCACUUGGUUCGUAGAUCGAUGAAAAACGGGGCAAAAACCGUUAUUUGGCGUGAAUUGCAGACAUUUUGAUCGCUAAAAUUUUGAAUGCAAAUGGCACCAACAGGUUCAUAUCUGUUGGUAUGUUUGGUUGAGGGUCGAUUAACUCGUUACUUGCAAUCAGCUUGAUUGUUUUUUCGAUAAGUUGCUCUUUAUGGGUACCUUUUCGGCGUGCUAUGUUUUGAGCUUUUGCUCAGAACGACGGUUUAAUUGACUUUGCUCGCAUUGUCUACCGUUAAUUUAACUCUGAGCGUAGUGUGGCUAUUUGCGUUGUUCAACAAAUAGUAUUGGCAUGACUUUGCCAGCUAACUCGA
rnacentral:misc_RNA from 1 species